UUUUUUUUUUUUUUUUUUUUUUUUUUACAGUCUUCUCCGCAAAGAACCUGCAAAACACAAGAGUGCAACGAUGCAGAGUGCAGGAACAUGAAGGGUGCAGAUGCUCCAGAUGCAGUUUAGACUACCAACAACUAAUAUUGAAAUCCAAAAACAAACAAACUGAUACGAGCAAACAGAAGCAGAUUAAAUCCCGAAGGAUCAAACCUGCUCUAAUACCAAGUUGAAUAUCAGAGUGCGCAACGAACAAGACUAACAAGAAUAAGAAUAUUAUUAAACAAACGAGAAUGCCGAAACGGCUACAAAACCCUAAGAUGCUACAUUGUGACUAACUUGAUUAUUCUAUAGAGUUACAAAGUAUCAUAUAUAUAGAAAACUAACCUAACCCUAAUAGGCAAGGAAACGAAACCCUAAUACUAACGGGCUAAGCCCAAAAUACCAAACAUUAAAAUAAAUCUAAAUAAUAAUAUUUUCCAACAGGAAGUGCCAAAGAUUCACCAGUAAAUGGGAUUAGAUAAACAAAAAAUGGCCGAAGUUAGGUCUACCAUCGUAUAGGCACAAGAAGCCAUUGCAAGAACCCACAAUUUCGACUGCGAACCCGUACUCAAUACUGGAGUCUCUAGAAAGCCUCACGACAUCGCUGUGUUGGGUUAGAGUGCUCGUCGAGGCCAACCACGAAGUGACCUAUCGACUUGGCACAAGGGGCGUUGAAGCAAUGGAGCAAAAUGCAAGCCGGUGCUUGUGAAAAUAGGGACAUGGUGAAGUGGCGGUCUGAGAGCCAGUGGACACUCGUCUGCAUUGGGUGAGCGUCUUGGUUGAGAUCUCUAUUAUUGUGUGGCUGGAAAUUGCGGAAUGUACAAUGUGGGGUUUCUUCUCAUGUUUCUUUAUCUUCUUCUUUUGAAGGUUUGUUAGGGAAAUUUGCAAAAUUAACCAAAUUUUAGACCCUAUAUAUUGAAUUAUUGCCACCGUUUUAAGUUAAGGAUCAUUAUAACCAAAAUUUUACAUGAAAUUACUAACAUACGCUUAAAAUGAGUUUUCCCAUAUAACCAAAAUGAAAAAAAUUUAAAAUUCAAGCUCAAGAAAUGUUCAUUCAGAUUGAAUAUGCCAUGUUGGUCGAAUCUAGCCAGAAAACUGUCGUUCUCCGGUCACAUAGCAGGGAAUUCGAAACCCAUAUAGUCAAUCCUUGCCAAAGUUGUUUAUUUGAGAAAAAAAAGAAGAGGAAUUUAGCUCCAAAAGCAAAGCAAAUCAACGAGCUUUAUAGGAUCACACAAGCAAUCAUGGAUAGCAUCGUUGACACUAUCAACUCCGCAACCAUCGUCAUCUCAACCGAAGCUAGUGCCCAGCCCACCACCGUCUUUGUAACUCUCUCUCUCUCUCUCUCUCUCUCUAGUGCAUACAAAUCUUUAUGCAUGUGUGCUUUUUUUUUUCUCUUCUCAUUUGCACCAGAAAAGUAGAAUUGCUGCAUUUGUAGAAGCUUGAGAAAGGCUUAUCAUCCCUUGACGCAGUGCAUUAGGGACUGAAAUGUGAACAAACAAGUAAAAGCAGGAAAACUAUCAAAUAAAAAAUCCACAUAACACAAAUUGAGAGAAGAGAUAUCAACUAAUAUGACUUUAGGGUCCUUGUUAUACUCUGUUUGGUUGCUGAGAAACUCUGGGAAUCUAAAACACACAUAUAUGGACAGUUGGAUUUUGCGUUCUUACUCGUAUUUUCAAUCCUAAGAAUGAAAACUAUCAACGUUUGAGUGUUUUUGUAGGAUUUUUUUUUUGGUUGUGAUAAGAAAACUCAUUUUAAGAGUAUACAAAUACUUUCAUAUCAACUUUUAAUUAUAAUUAUCAUAAACUUAAAAGGGUGACUAUAAUUCUAUAUAGAGUCUCAACUGUUGCUUAUGGUUUCAAUUGUUGUCGUGUAGAUAGGGGGGAGAGUUCAAUUUCCUAUUUUUUGAAUUUUCACAGAUACCGUUUUCAUUAACUCACGAGUCUUUUUUAACCCAGUUUCACACUAAACCCUUUCUGAUGAAUUCAUUUUCAACCGUUCAAAUUUAAUCCUAUGGUCUACAUCCCAUCUGCACACACUGUCCGCAAAGCUCCGUUUGCACCUUAGAAAUCGCCCUCUUUAUAAACUGGCCUGGCCUACACGGCACAACCCAAUUCCAGGCCAAAAUUGCAUAAACCCAACUCCUUUUAAUUGUUUUCAGAAGAGUGGUAGUUUUGUAAUUAAAUGGAAAUAAAUGGAAACGUAGCCAAUUUGACAGUGCUUAUGAACAAUGCCAAACUCCCCUCAAUUUUAAACUAUAGUAAUAAUUCCUAGUAUUGGUGAAUCAUAUGAUGGUGGUCAGGAGAAGACUGAAAGUCUUCUCGGCCCUUGGAAGAGAGGAUUGUCGUGGUGAAACCACCAGUUAGUCCAUUUUUUAAAUAAAAUAAAAUAAAAUUUUGGAAUCAAACUUCAUUCAUUUUCCAAGUAGUCCUAAACUACUGAAAAAUUGGCAAAUGUACCAUUUUCCGUUGAGAUGUAGAUUUUACCCCUUUUAGAUCUACUCCAACCCUUAGAGUAAAAUUCAAAUUUUAGGUUCUAAACCUACCCCAAUUUGCUCCAACCCAUAGGGUAAAUAUGAGUUGUAACCCAUAACUCAUUUCUGGGGCAAAUUUAGGCCAGGAUUCCCUUUGGGUUAGUAGGGUUGACCCACCAAAUAUAUGUAUUUUUUUUUAGUUUUAUUUAUAAAUUCAUUAAAUCUAACCGUUAAGAUCUAAUAUGAUCAAAUCUAAUUGUAAAAAAAAAAAAAAAGAUUUAACUCUCCAAAUUUAGACCCAACGGCUAAAAUAAUUAAAAACAAUUGUUUUUUCAUAUUCUUUCAUAGUGUCUGAUGAGUUUCAUGGUGUCAGUUUAGUAAUUUUUCAAUAUUUGUCGGAAUCUAAAUAUUUUUAGGUUAAAAUGUUCAUAAAAUUAAAUUAGGAUAGUCUACAAAUAUAUAUAUAUAUAUAUAUAUAUUUAAAGUUACUUUAAGAAUCCUAAAUUCAUUUUUUAAUAAUCUCGGACUAAAAAUUUAACCCAUAAGAGUUAGAGCAGAAAACAUAUUUCUAGGUUAAACCCUAAAUUUUUUGGGUUAAAAAUUUAAACACGUCGGUUCUUGCACUAAUGCUAGCUAGAAACAGCGCAUUAGCUACGUAGUCCUUGGACAACAUCUUAUUUCAUAGAAAUAUUUCAUAUUCAUGACAAUACCUAUGUGUUAAAAUUAAUAGGGUUUAUUUGUCCUAUUGUAUAAAGGGAAUUUUGUCCUUUCAAGUACCUAUAUUUUUAGGCUAAUAUGUAAAGAGGCUGUUGACUUAUUUGAUGCAUGGUUAAUUUAUUUGAUACAUUUAAAAAAUAAAAUAAUUUUUUAUUCAAAUGAUUUUUUGUCAAGAUAAUAUUUAAAGAAAGAUUAAGAAAUUGAACGGUUCUAAUUAUAAAUUUUCUAUGGUAAAAAUACGUAUUUGCAAGUAGUCAUGAAUAGCUCAUCCCCGAAGAGGGGAAUGCAAGAGUAUUAUUCUUUAUUUAUUUCAUUGAAAUUAUUACAAAUUCAUGACAAUACUAAGCGUCAAAAUUCAUAAAGUUUAUUUCUCCUUUAGUAUGAUAUAAAGGGAUAUUACAUAAUAUCCUUUCUAGUUCUAUUUUUAGGGUGAUGGACAGAAUGUAAUAACGUAGUUUGGUCCACCGCUGCAUGUAAAGGUGCUGUUGACAUCAUCAUAAGCGUAGCUAUAAGCCUGAGGGCACUGGUCCUCAAAGAUCUUAGAGUAGUCUGUGGGUGGACAUGUAGCUGGUGUGUCAUUAGGAGGAGUGCAGCAGUAUUGUGGUUGAUUAAAUUGUGUACACGCACUCUUGCAUGCAAUUACGCUCCCAUCGGACCCCUUCACUUGCAGCUCAGCUGGGCAAACAGCGUUGACGUUGGCGGGGCAAGAAGAGGUCUGGCAGUCGCCCGUGCCGCCUUGUGGGGCAACAGACACGGGCAAGUUGAAGCCAUCAACAAGACUUACGUCGUAGAAAUCUUGGCCUCCGUUUGCGACAAUAUUUAUUUCGACUAGGCUUGCUGGUGGAACUGCUCCGUUACCGUUGCAUGUGACUUGGCCAGAGCUACACUCUGCUGUGGCACAACUGAACUUUCCUGAGGCGUCAGUGGAGCAUCCGGUUCGGCCCCAGAAGCGGCCUUUCCAUGGGACUGGAGUGGUCAAGGAACUGCUAGCGCCGGAUGCUAACUCGAACCCUGUGGAGGAUAGUUGUGGUUGUUGAUCGGAGGUUAGGGACCCUGGCCAUACGGUAUAGGGGCAACUGUUGGUGAAGGUGAUCGUAGCUGCAUGUGCACCUACAUGCCAAUUGUAAACGAAUAAUCAUAUAACCAUUAUGUUAACAAAAAAAUAUCUCUAUAUCUCUAUAUAUGUGUCUAUGAUGAUGUUACCAACUAUGGAUCAAUUUGAACACAAAUUAAUAACGUUCAAACAAAACAAAAAUCAUCAGUUUAAAAUUUCAUGUCUAACAGUUUAACGAUCGAUAUAACAUUUUUCAUGAAUCAUGACACGUACCAGAUCACAUACAAAUAACCGUAAACAAAAAGAACAGAACAAGUCAAUUUGUUUACCUGCGAAGAAGAUGGCUAAGGUGAGACUGAGGAUUACUUGGUUGUUCAUCAUGAUUAAGCAAUCACUUCUUCAAUUUGCUGCCAAAUUAAUUUGGUGAUGAAAUGAUGAAGUUGGGAACCGAUGGGCCUUUGGUUUUAUAGGCAUAAGCGCAUACCUAACUUUAGACUUUUUUAUUUUUGCAUGUCUGCUACAUGAGGAUCCACGUUACCACUAAUAAGUGAUGAGACGACUUGUCUUAAUUAUGGCUUUAUUAGGCGUAUUUGGUCCCUGGACUGACCCCUAGCAAGCUAUUUCCUCAUUCAACCCAAGACAUUUCUCCGCAAAAAUGCCAAACAGGAGUUAAGUGGGACAAUUUGAGUUUACAGGGUAAAAUGAGAAUGAACUUGAGUUUCAGGAAGCGUCAGGAUAAAGCUUAUUUCUUAUAAAAAAAUAUAAGGAUUAAGUACCUAGAACUCCUCAAUCUUUUAGUGUCAUUUCAAAGUAGUCCCAACCUUUUUAAAUAUUCCAAACAAGUAACUAGUCUAUUGAAAAUUUCAGAUCUGUUAAGCAUCAGUUAAAUUUAUGUUAAAUUAACUACAACUUACAUUAGGUUCAUUUUCGAUCCAAUUCAAUACCUGUUAAAUCAUUGGGUUCCAUAUGUUUGAAAUUUAGAUUUUGAAGUAAAUAGUAUUAGUGUUGAUCAUGAUAUGCUCUGUUGGUGGGUUUGAAUAUAAACGCAGGAAUGGAGUUUCAAUGGUUGUAGGUUGAGCUUGAAGGUGAUAUUUGGGAAUUUUCGAUUACGUGAAUAAAGGUAAUACGCCUUCUAAAAACAAAGAAAACAACAAGCUAAAUAAUUUACAGUAACGAUGUGAUUCUCGGUUAUUGAAACUGUAAAACAACCGAUGUCGGUAUUUGCUGAUAUCAUUGCUACCAUUCUACGUCACCAGAGAACUUUCAUUGUCAAAACACAGCUGGUAUGGCUUCAUAAUUGAAUUCCCAUAAAAUGCCAAACUUUAUAUGGUCAACAACACUGCCGUGAUGGACGGGCCUAAAGGCUGCAAGUUAUCGUGCAUGAGGGGGUUAGGCUAAGGAAUUAUGAUUUGAAGACUCACACAGCAGUGGAAUAUUCCACAAUAUUAUUACUUAUUAUUCUUCAUUUCUGGAUUACAAAUUUCACAGCUACUCAAUGGCGAAGCCAGGAAUUCUCGGAGGAAGGGGCGAACUUAAAAGAGUGCAAGAUUAAAGAAAAAUGACAAUAAACAAAUCUUUUUAUAUAGUAAUGUCUUCUAUAAUUAAUCAAUACAAAGGAAGAGGACUACCCAAAAUACCCAAAGGAUGACUACUCGGAGGAGGACUGCUCGAAAUAUUUGAAGGUGGAGGAGGACUACCCGGAAUAUUUGAAGGAAGAGGAGGACUAUCCAGAAUAUUUGGAGAAGGAUUUAAACACUGUUUUUUAUAGCAUCGUUCCAUUACGUAAUUGUAUAAUGAAAGAAAAAAAAUAUAUCUUAGACUCUUAAUCCUAGAGUAGACUAUAAAGUAAUAUAUAAUCAAACCAAGAAUUUAAUUAAUCAAUUCCAACAAUCAUAUGAAUAAUCAAGAAUUCAAUUUUUAUUCUAAACAACAACUGGUCAUUAGGGUCUUUUAAGUAAUUGAGUAAGUUGAUUAGGGUUUAUAGUGGUUACGGUAAUCAAUUUUUUGUCAUUUGCAAAGCUGCAUUUUAUUUAGGGUUUUAGUUGGUUGAGUUGGGGUUUAUUAUGUUAAUAUAAAUAUGAUGUAAAUGUCUUCACCAUGUUCAGCUGUUUUUUUUCUUGCUAGACCAUGUGUGUAUUCAAGUUCCUAUAUAUAUAUAUAUAUAUAUAUAUAUAUAUAUAUCCUCUUUUAUGUACUUCAAAAAAAAAAAAUCAAUAAUCAUCAUAGUAUUCAUAUAAAUAAUUUAUAAUCAAUAACCAUAUAAUGUAUUACCCUAUAAUCUUAUAUCAAUUAAACAAAAAUUCAGAUUCACUAAUCUAUUAGGGUUUGAAAUAAAUAUAAAUUUAAACAGUAAUAUAAGUAAAAUCAAGUGUUCAAUAACCUAUGCUACCACACUAGUCAAAGUCGCCUAAUGGGACUUGUACGAUUGAACCUAUUGCUCAUCAAUCUAUGCUAGCACAUGAGUCGAAGUCGCCUAAUGCAACAUGUACGACAGAGUUUGGUGUAAUCAUAAUAUACGCUCUAGUGCUACGAUCACGUGAAGACUGGCGCUAUGCGCGGUCACCUACGAGUCGGAGUCGCCUAAUGCGACCUGUAAGACAUGACUGACACCUACUUGGAUCCAAGGUGAGUGUGCAAUGCGGGAGGUGAACAUACAUGUGAAGCACUUGCUCUGGCCCGAGGCGAGCACUAACACCGAGGGGCAGCAAUGAUGAGCAGACUACAUGAAUAUAAGCAUGCCAUAAUGAUGCAAUAAUUCUAAUCAACAUAAUAACAUUCAUAGCCGUAGAUAUAAUUAUGGCAUCAAAGAUUAUAAGCAUACCUAUGCAUCUCGUAGGAUGUAACACGUUUCAUAAAUUCCGUCAUUUCGCUAAUUUUUAUAAACUUUAGUCUAAUCCAGGCAUAGGUAAGAAAUUCUUUUUCAAAUGCAUAAUUGGAAACUAUCAAUCAUAUAUAUACUAUAAAAAGGAAAAGACCCACUCACCUGAAGUCUGCGUUACAACUCCCUAGCACGAAUAUCGAGAUGUCUCGAACAAUCGGCGCCUAGAACAAUGAUCAAAUCAUGUCUCAGAAUUAUUAUCUAUAGAACACGUAACUUACAUAAAAUGCAUCCAAACAGAAUUCUAGAAUGAUUGCUAACCCAUUGACCAAAAGUGAACCAUCGGUCAAAGGUAGAAGGUAGGGUCCACAACCCUAGGUAACUCGAUCAGGAAGAUCCGCACCCUGAAUUUCCAAUCCGUAACUUCCCAAGAGUUUCAAUAAGCUUCCAAAACAACAUCCUAAAGUUUCGGAACGAUCUAAUGGUUGGAUCUUCGCCAAUCGCUAAAAUAAAGUGGCAGUUGACGUUUUAUUUUACGAACUUACAAAUCCAAUUCGGGAAGAUCCAUACGUAGGAUUCCCGAUCCGUAAGUUUCUAAUAUCUUCAAAUAUUAUGUACUAUAACGUAUUAAAGUUUGGUGAUGAUCCAACGGUCAAAUCGUCGAAUCAUAAAUGGUCAAGUGACGUAGUAUUCCAUACUAGGUUCAAACUAUCAAACUAUAACAAACGGUUAUCAAAUUGACAUAAAAUUUGACUCAAAAAGGCAGCGUCAGCCCACUAGCCAUGCUCUGCCGUACAUGGCGGUCGGCCACCCCGACUCGCCGGAAAAUUCAACUAAUUCUAAAAAUUCUAAAAUUUUACUAGAAUGAAAAUCUCAAUGAGUAGAUCAAGUUUUAUACCUGUGGCCAAGUCCAAUUUGGCCGGAAAAAGCUUCAAAUCUCCACGAACCCGCCGGAAACCCUAGAAAAUGGUGGUUGUCGAUUCGGCUUCUUCGGUGCUCCGCUGCUCCAACCAAGCCUUGAGACUGUUCCUAGGUUCAAGAGAAUUCAACCCAUGGUGGUGGUCGACGGAGUUUGUUUCAGAAAUGGUUGAUCGCUGCCGUGAGACCCUCGGCGCCACUCACUCGGUUCCUCAUGAAACUAGGGCUAUAAGCUGUCGAGUUUGGGUGGGAAUUGAAGAGGGAAGAUCGAUGAGUUAGGUGAUGGUGUUGGAUGGCUUCAACAUGCCGGAAAUCCGACAAAAAAAGCAACGGAAAAGUCAAUAGAAACUUGGUCAAAACCCGGGUCAGGUGAGGGUCCGAGUUGGGUGGUCUCAUCUCUUCUCUCCCUUCCAUCCUUUCCUUAUUUCUGAUUGGUCACUCAUUUUUCUUCCUUUUUCCCGAUUGGAAUAGUUUUCUCGCUAUAUGAGCGUGAAAGUUCAACGAUCAAAAGAUGCCUUCUCGAGCUAAAAGCUUGUCUAUUCUUUUCAUUUGUGCAUCUGGGCUUGUAGUUGCGUUGCAAGCGAUUCUCUCUGUCAGGCAUACCUGAUAGUGUCCCCCAUUUUGUUUCGCUUUUGAGCGAAGUCCUUAUUUCUUUUAUGCAAUUUUAUUUCUUCUAUAACAACAUGAUGUUUUCCCCCUUCUAUGGUUGCUCUCCCUCUCUCCCGCCAUUCUCUUCCAAUUGGGCAGCAGGCAUCUUUUUCCUCUCAUUCUCUUUCCGGUUGGCCAAUACUCCCACUCUUUUCUCUCAACUAAUAAUAAAAUAAUAAUAAUAUGAUAACAAAACAAUUUCAAAAUAAUAAUAUAAUAAUUAUGAGAAAUAUAUAAGAUAAUAAAUAGUAAUCUUUACAAGGGUACUUUUUCGAAUUUGUAGUUCUGUAAAAUUUUAACCGUAACUCUAUAUUCGCUUCCGCUUGCCUACGCGUCCGUAUCGUUGAGUACUUCAAGAAUAUGAUAAAUAAUAGCCCAUACGCUUCACGAAAUGAUGGUCAACUGGAGUCAACGAUCUCGCCUCUAAGGGCAUUUUCGUUAAUUCACUCAUUUAAAAUUUAUAAAAACAUAAAAUUAGGGAUGAGUUAUCACAAAAAAUACGUUUGCGCCUUGAAUUGGGUUGGAAAAAUUUCCAAAAUUUUGGGCGAAAAGAGUGACCCAAAACAAAGUCGUAAUUACCAUUACCAUACCAUGCCAACAUAACUAUUUGGCAUGCCAACAUAACUAUUUGGCAUGCCAAAAUUCGGUAUACCAAAAGUUUGGCACAGUAAAGGUAAUAGGUUUUGUCAUACCAAAAGUUUGGUAUGGUAAUUGGUACAUGGGUUUUGGUACAAUAAUCGUACCAAUACCACCCUUAGUGUUAGUUGAAGGUCGUAACAGUUGCAGUGGCAAAUUUUGUAAUUUUUAUUUUUUUUAAAUGCAUUUAAGUAUCAUAAUACAUGAUGAACUUUUUUUAAAUGUAUUUAAGUAUCGUACCAAUAACAUAAAUAUUGUUGAUAUAUUGUCAAUAUUGUAACUUUUUAUUGAUUUUAUACAAAAUCACCCUUUUAUUUAAGAGUAAAUUGUAGCAAUGGUCCAUGAACUUUAAUCAAAUGGGAGCAAUGGUCCCUCAACUAAAAAUCCAUUACUAUUGGUCUCUCAACUUAUCAAAAUGUGUAGCUAUAGUCUUUUUCAUCAAUUUCUUCAAAAUUUUGUCAAAAUAUGUAAUAACCAUUUAUAUAAUUAAGGUCCCUCAACUCAUCAAAGUGUGUAAUUAUGGUCCUUUUCGUCAACUACGUAAAUUUUUUUGUCAAAAUGAGUUAUGUUGGAAGGACCAUUGCUACAAUUAGGUUGAAGUUAAGAGACCAUUUCUCCAGUUGAAUUAAAGUUGAGAGACCAAAGGUAAUGAAUUUUUAGUUGAGGGACCAUAGCUGCACGUUUUGAUGAGUUGAAGGACCAAUGGUAAUGGAUUUGUAGUUGAAGGACCAUUGCUCCAAUUGAGUUAAAGUUAAGGGACCAUAGCUACAAUUUACUCUUUAUUUAAUUGAAACUAAUUUAUAUCCCACUUGAUGAACUUUUUAUGUUCUGAAAAACUUAAACCAUUCAAUUGAAUUAGAAUGCGUGAGAUAUAUGAAUGUUUAGAGGUUAAAACUCUUGAAAUCUUGAACUUUUUUAUUUGUGUUGAAUAGAUUUAGACCGACCAAACUAAACCGAGUCAAGCUAAUUAACUAUGGUUAGGUUUGGUGUAGUUUUAAUGACGGUAUUGGAGGUACAGAACCAAACUGAACCUUUGAGAACUAAUUGAAUCGGCUUUUUUUUUUCUUAUGUCAAACUGAAUCAUACCAAUCCGUACCACCCCUAAUUUAGGAUGUCAACGAACCAGGGUUAAUAAUUUGGAUCCGUGGAAAUGCCCUGAAUCCAAAUAUGGAUGUUGCUCGUAACUGGGCUUUUGCUAGUUCAAAGAAAUAAAUACAAAUAGAAUCGGAGAGGGUCAUUUUCCGGUUGACGAGAAUUUGUCACUUUACGCCGCCUAGCACCAGGCGCCAAUUGCUAUUUAGAUGAGUGUGGUAGUUGAGUAAUGCUAUACUUACCGCUAGUUGUACAAUUAUUUAUAUCAUUUUUUUAAUAGAGAUAGGAAUCCACCAACGUAUAUAUGUCUCAUCUCUCUAAUAGAGAUAAGGCCCGCCAACACAUGUAGGUCUCAUUUCUAUUAACAAAAUAGUAUAAAUGAUGAUAGAACUACGUGAUAAAAGUAGCAUUUUUGUAGUUAUUAUGAUUUCGUUUAAUUAGUUAGUCUGUUAGACAAAACAUUAACUUUUCUAUAUAACAAAGGGGAUAAAACUUGGGUACUGUCUUGUCAGUACCAGACUGACUUAUUAGAUGGCCCAAUAAUUGUCUAAGGGUGAGUUCGGUAUGGUUACCGUACCAAAAUUCUUGUACCAAUUACCGUACCAAACUUUCGGUUUGGUAAAAUCUAUUACCAUUAUCGUACCAAACUUUUGGUAUAAUGAAGUUCGGUAUUGCCAAAAGUUCGGUUGGCAUGGUAUGGCAAUGGUAAUUGCCUUUGCCAUUUUGUUUUAGGACAAAAUCUGUUUUUGUUUUUUUAACCCAAUUCAAGGGCAAAACUUUUUUUUUGUAUCUUUAUCUCAUACAUUAUAGAUUAAAUUCAUCUAUUAUUCAUCAUUCACAAUUCACAUACAUAAUAAUUCAAAUGAUGCAUCAAGAUUCAUCAUGAAAAUUAAGCUUACAAUCCAAAUAGAAGUUAACAAUCCAAAUAGAAAUUAAAGUUUCAAACCAAAUGAAAAUUGGAAGUAAACUUCAAAAAGGAGAAUUCAUUGAUCAUUUAUUCAAGUUUGGGAUGUCGAAGCUUUUGGAGAAGGCAUUGAACUUGUAGAAGAUUGAAUUUGUGUCAAGCCUACAUUACAAACUAAAAAAACAUAUUAAUUAGUAGCAAGAAGAAUUAAAGUUGAAGACCAUUUAAUAACAAAUUUACUAAAAAAAUUAAAGCAUAUCUUUCUUGUUUUCUCUUCUUCCAUUUCUUUGUAAAAUCGAAGCAUAUCAUCUGUUGGUUCCUUGUAGAAGUUUACUUCAUUUGCCCUUAAGCCAACCACUAGUACGCACUAGUGCCUCCAUUAUUUUAAGAGUCAAAGAUACCCUAAAAGGGUCCACAACCCUCCUCCCUAGGCUAAAUGCAUUUUCACCAGCAAUAGUAGAAGUGGGGGUUACAAAGAUAUUAUGGCUAUUUGUGAAAGAAUUAGGAACUCUUUUGUGUUUGAUUUCUUUCCACAAUUUCAAGAGAUCAAAGUCACACACAACAAUGCUAAUAUAAGUAGGGUUUUAUUUUCAAAUUAUUGGAAUAUUAUAAAUAUGUGUUAUAUAAUUAUCUAUUAUAUAAUUUAUAAAUUAUAAAUUGUAUUACAUUUUCGGUAUGGUACGGUAAUACCGUGGUAAUGGUAUCCAUUACCAAUACCGUACCAUGAAAUUUUGGUACGGUAUAAUACCGUACCAUUACCGAUUGGAACAAAAAUUUUGGCAUAAAAUCGGUAUUGUACCGGUUGGCAAUUCGGUUGGUACAGCAAUUUAGCAAAAAAAUCCACCCCUUGUCCACCACCUGUCUUUAAAACUCACAUCCAAAUUCUUGCUAUCCUGAUAACCAAACACCUAUCUUCUUCCUCCCUUCCCUGUGGCAGCCGCUCCGUCAAUCCCAACCUCUCUCCUCCGUCAUCGUUAUUCCUCUGCAAACCCAACCAAACUAUCGCCCUUUCUCUGCAAAUUCGACAAAACCAGUGCACCAACCAAAACCAAUUCUUACAGGUGCCAUGAAUUCGAUUACUCAACGAUUUCAUAAGAUACAAUUAAUCAUCGGUUCUAAAGCUGAUGAACGACGGUGGCUGUUGGUGGUGGGUGAGGACGGUUGUCGAAGGUGCAAAAGACAACAAAGAUGGCGACUCCCAUCUCCAUAUGGGUCUUAUUUUGUUCAUCUUGAAAAGAAAUCAUUUUUUAUUUAAAUUUGCAAUUAUGAUGAAUGGCAGCCAUGGUGGUGAUUGGAAUGGGCGAAGGAAGAUGAAGGAAAAAGAGUGAAAAAGUUGCAGGGAAGAAGAAACGAGGUGUUUGGUUGUGUGUUUCAAGGUGUAUGGUUGUGUGAAUUAUGGGAAAUCAAUUUCAGGUGACCGAAGCUAAGUAGUCUUAAAUUAGUCCAUAUUAUUUUCGUUAAUUGUUUUUAGCGGGUAUUCGCCUAGACCCCCCCCCCCGGCCCUUUCCCCGUGUUAGUUUUAUUUUUUUUUUUUCUUCAUAUUAUUAAUAAAAUCUUGUAGAGGGGGACGGGUGGGGGGUUUCUGGGUGCAACGGUCCUUUCUCUUUUGGAAGAGGAUUGGUGCCUCGUACGCAACUGUUGACGAAGAGCUAAUCUCACCUAAUCCGUCUCUACAAAAAAAUUUUUUUUUUUUAAAAAGUGUAUGGUUGUGUUUAAGAGAAUUCUUAGAACACAGGUGUCCUCAGUUUAGUGGGCCACAUAAGCAAGUCAGCAGUGGAAUUAUUUUGAUUACGUUAACGUCUCACUGACUUCGUAGUUUUCUCUGUAUCCAAACACUCUCAUCAGUUCGGUUUUUUCAUUCUUUUCAUGGUAUCAGGCACGAUUGUGCCCCGCAGUUGUUGAUUACAAUCUUCAUUGUCUCUAUUUCUCUUCAGGUUCUUCAUUUAUCCGUCUCUAAUUUUGAUUGAGACUGAAAAUUGCAGACAACUACCCCCGUGCCCAUCGGGUUCCCAAUAAAUGUCUCUGCAUGUUGAUUUUCCAAGGAGGAAAGAGGUAAUUGCAUAGCAAACAUAACAUUUUUUUCUUAUGUUUGAAGAAAAACUACAUGCAUGCGGUAAGUACAUAAUCUAAAUUGCAGAGCCGUCUCAAUGCAAACUUAAUCCUAAGACGAAAAUAAAAUGAGGUUUUUCUAAUUUAGUAUGUGGUUUUUUUAUAGGCUAGUUAAAUUAUAAAACUUUUCAAUUCAAUCCACCACCAUCUCCACACCAAAGUAAAUUUAACCAUUUAAGGCACAUUAAAUAAGAUUUAGGAAAAUAGUGGAAGACUUCAUAAUCAACAACAGUCGCAGAGCCACAAAGAUGCAAAAAUUUUGUUAAUUACCUAUUUGAAUCUUAUGCACAAUAAAUAGAACCUUAAGGUUAGUUUCCCAUUUGAUUUCGUUUCCUUGUUGACUCUUAAUCUCGAUAGAUUACAAUGUUGAAAGCAACUCCAUAGGAUAAAGAAGAGGGCACCAAAUUUCGCCUCUACAAUAAGAUCUCCUUAUCAUGAAACAAUUAGUAUAAUCUCACUCCAAAAAUGGAUGUUGAUUGUUGUACCAAAAGAAGGUUCAAUUUUGACAGUAAUAAAAGAACAUACACAGCUGAUGAAAACGAGAGACAGCUAACUAGCUCGUGCAUGAGAGCGUGCGAAGAGGCUAGCAAUACUGUGCUUGUAAAAAGAGAUGGAUAUCGCGGUCAUGCCAUACAUAUGAUGUCAUAAUUCACACACCGGAUGGUUUUAUUUUAUUUAUUUUAAAAGAUAAGUUCAUACUACAUUAUUUUCAGUACCACAACAACAACAACAACAACAAAGCCUUUUUCCCACUAAGUGGGGUCGGCUAUAUGAAUCCUAGAACGUCAUUGCGCUCGGUUUUGUGUCAUGUCCUCCGUUAGAUCCAAGUACUCUAAGUCUUUUCUUAGGGUCUUCCAAAGUUUUCCUAGGUCUUCCUCUACCCCUUCGGCCUUGAACCUCUAUCCCAUAGUCACAUCUUCGAACCGGCGCGUCAGUAGGCCUUCUUUACGCAUGUCCAAACCACCGUAACCGAUUUUCUCUCAUCUUUCUUUCAAUUUCGGCUACUCUUACUUUACCUCGGAUAUCCAUAUUCCUAAUCUUAUCUUUUCUCGUGUGCCCACACAUCCAAUGAAGCAUCCUCAUCUCCGCUACACCCAUUUUGUGUACGUGUUGAUGUUUCACCGCCUUCAGUGGCCUAUGAUGGUCACACAACACGUCGGAUGCACUCUCCCACUUCAUCCAUCCAGCUUGUAUUCUAUGGUUGAGAUCUCUAUCGAAUUCUCCGUUCUUUUGCAAGAUUUGCUAAUCCCCCGUUGUUUCUUUUUCAUGUUUUUUUUUUUUUUUAGUUACUGACUUUGUUUCUAUUUGUGUCUUUUAUUUUUACUUAUGAUAUUUGAUUUAGUUUUGUUUCCUUGAUUUCAAGUACUAGAGAAGUAAGACAUGGAUUUUGCUACCAUUCAAGCUCAAUUGGCGAAACUUACUUCUCAAUUGUCACAAUAUGCCGAAGGGACCACAAUGCAAAGUGUCCCUACAGAUGGUGUGUCCUAUGGGCAAGGAUAUCCAACUCAUCAAUGUUCUCAAUUCGCUACGAAUGAAGAUGCUUGGGGUUAUCAAGGCCAUAGCCAAUCAAGGGACAACAUGUUUUCCAACGCUUACAAUUCGGAUUGGAGAGAUUAUUUAGAUUACAUGUGUGGAGAACCGCAACAAUUCCAACAAGAUGGAUAUUGGCAGCAAGAAGAGGAGUUCUAUCACUGGUCAUAUGAACAAUCUGCCCAAUUCCAUUCGGGUACAUCUUUGGAUAAUGAUAUGUUUAAUAAGUUACUCACCUCUUUGAACCAGGAUGUAGAAAUCCGAAACAAAGAGGUGCAAAAUCAAGCCAAGAAGACGGGCGAAUUGGAAAAGCAAUUUGGGCAAAUUAUGGAGUUCACGGCACAAAUUCAAGAGCAAAGUGAACUCUCCAACUCAACUGUUGAAAAUUUGAAGGGAGAUUUUGAAAUCCAUGAUGCUAUCACUUUGGGAAGUGCUAUGGAGGUUGGAGGUGAACCCAAGACGUCCAAACUAAGCCAAAACAUGGGUGAACAGCUGCUGCUCGAAGAAGAGGAGAGUAACAAGGCCACUACAAGGAAAGAAUCAAGUAUCACCUUCCAUUUAAGGAUCAAUUCCGUGCUAUGGGCCCUAUUUAAGUUUAGAAGGAAGUUUCGUCCGGUUGAAGGACGUUAAAGUCAGCGCUUCUUGGAAGGCAACCCAUGUAUUCAAAUAAGGAAGAUUUUUGAAUCGCUUCACAAUCAGUUUUGCGUUUCUAAAAACCUUCCAUUUUCUGCAUUUCUAUUUUGCCUUGAUUGUCAUUUUUUUUUAUUUAUUUAUUUAAUUUUUGUUGUUUAUUUAAUUAUUUUUGGGUGUGGGUUUAUUUUUGAAACAUUGACAGAUCUGCAAGGUAUUCUUACAUUCAUUUUCAUGAAAAAAAAAGGAACAUUAAGCAGAAAAUUACACAAACAAGAAGGAGUUUUCAUUGGUCAGGAGGUGUAACAGCAGUUGAAGGAACAUCAGAAAGACGAAGUGUCAGAGCUUGAUUGUCCGGAGCACUUGGUGAAGCACCAGAUGAUGAAGACAGAAGUUGCCUCGGGAGUAAAGCCAUAAACCUUUGAUGAUCACUCCGGGCCCGAACUUCAGCCUCCUGCAGCUGGUCCAACUUCAUCUUCAUGCUCGUUGAGUAACUAGUUGCGAGCAUGUGCAACUCUUUAUUUUCAUGCCUAAGCGUUUUGACCUCUUGCCGAAGGCUAGCCACUUCAGCCAUCAACGACUCAACUUGACGAGAUCGAGCAAGAAGGCGUUGGCCCAUGUUUGAUACUGAGCCUGCACACUAGACGCUGAAAGCUAAAGAAUCAUGAAUAGCCUGCUCAUCAGACCGCUUAGAUAGCAUCCUACUGUCUCGUGGAAUGAGAAGAUUUCUAGCAACCACUGCAGCUGUUGCAUCAUUUCUCAUCACAGUGUCCCCAACUGUAAGAGGACCGUUGGAGGAUAUGAAGGAUGGUUGCCAAAUGUUACCUGGAGAAGAGAGGUCAAUAUCUUCUUCGAUAUUCAAGUCAAUACGACGGUCGGAGGGGCCAGACAUUUUCAGAGGUGUUAAAGAAAGAAGAGGUCAGACAAGUCAAGAUCGUCGAAGUGCAAGAAGGGAGUUUUCACAGGCAGAAAUUCAUAUGUGCUUUGAACAUCCUGCGUACCUCUAUAAAAAACAGCACGCGAUAGGAUUUUAGAGAUCGAAGAGGCGAGUUCAAAGAUCGAAGAAGCGUCUGCUUUCUCCAAAGCUAGGCCUACUCCGGAAUCACGGGCUGAUAUCAGAAAUCGAAGAAGUGUCAGCUUUGUCAGCACUCGUCAGCACCCGUCGCACGCAAACUCAGCUUUGCGAAAAUCACAGAAAAGUUGUCGAAGCAUCGAUCUCAGAUAGCGAAGAUGCGCCUGUCUUUCUCAGCCUCGUCAGCUUUGCGAAAAUCACGGAAAGUUUGUCGAAGCGCCGAUUCCAAACCAUCUGUCUUUCUCAGCCUCGUCAGCUUUGCGAAAAUCACGGAAAGUUUGUCGAAUAGCCGAUUCCAACCGCCUGUCUCUCUCAGCCUCGUCAGCACUUAUCACAUGCAGAGAAAGCUUUGAGGAAAUCACGGGCAAUCUGUCGACGAUUUCUGUUAAAGUAGAAAACACGUGAAGUUUACUGUUUAAUCAUCCAACGAUUGCCGACAGGAGUGAAAGAACAGUACCGGUUAUUAUUUCCUACAAAUGUCGACCUUCACGCUCCAUGACAAGGCAGACAUACAUAACAUUCCGUCAUCUCCGAGAAAUGGCUUUCCAACAAACCCUCUCGACUCACUCAGUGUUCUUUAUCCCAUGGGAUACCUCUGCAAACACAUCUUCAAAAGCAAAAGUAUUUCAUAUCAUGAAGGUAGAAAGCAAGAGUAUCUCAUAUCAUGCAUUCUCCGUGUCCUUUUCCUUGUCUUUGUUCUAACCUGUAGGACAAGGAGAAGGAAAGCAAUCAGCCAGCACUUGGUAUCAAUCUUCUGAUCUGGAACCGACUGCUUGGAACCCCUUCCUGAUUGCUUACAUGGUAUUGCUCUCGAGUACUCGUCUUCCACAGGCAGAUGUGGUAGACGAAGAGGAAGCAUAAGAUGAUAAAGAUGAGUACUCAAGAGUAAGGCUAGGAGAACAGAUAAGGAAAUACAGUAUGCGCAAUCAAUCCAGCAGAAGAAGUCUGAAAUGAAGAACUCGAGAAGCUUCAAUUCAAGAUCAAAGCUGUGGAAAGUCAAAAAAUCACAUCCAGUUGUGAUUCAUAAGUUGUGAAUUCAAUUUACUUAUUCGUUCGUAUAAAAAUUGAUUUGUGUAUAUGCUGCGAUUCAUAAGUUGUGAAUUCAAUUUACUUAUCCGUUCGUAUAAAAACUAAUUUGUGUAUAUGCUUAUGUUUUUCAUAAAACUUAAUGAUUAUUGCUUGUAUCUUUAUUAUGCAAUUCAUGUAGGGAACUUGUAGGGAAUGUUUUGGGUUGUCGUAUGCAAUCAUCCAACUAUAUGAAUCUUAGAACGCCAUUGUGCUCGGUCCUGUGUCAUGUCCUCUGUUAGAUCCAAGUACUCUAAGUCUUUUCUUAGAGUCUCUUCCAAAGUUUUCCUAGGUCUUCCUCUACCCCUUCGGCCCUGAACCUCUGUCCCGUAGUCGCAUCUUCUAACCGGAGCGUCAGUAGGCCUUCUUUGCACAUGUCCAAACCACUGUAACCGAUUUUCUCGCAUCUUUCCUCCAAUUUCGGCUACUCCUACUUUACCUCGGAUAUCCUCAUUCCUAAUCUUAUCCUUUCUCAUGUGCCCACACAUCCAACGCAACAUCCUCAUUUCCGCUACACCCAUUUUGUGUACGUGUUGAUGCUUCACCGCCCAACAUUCUGUGCCAUACAGCAUCGCCGGCCUUAUCGCGGUCCUAUAAAAUUUUCCCUUGAGCUUCAGUGACAUACGGCGGUCACACAACGCCGGAUGCACUAUUCCACUUCAUCCAUCCAGCUUGUAUUCUAUGGUUGAGAUCUCCAUCUAAUUCUCCGUUCUUUUGCAAGAUAGAUCCUAGGUAGCGAAAACGGUCGCUCUUUGGUAUUUCCUGAUCACCGAUCAUCACCCCUAACUCAUUUUGGCCUCCAUUUGCACUGAACUUGCACUCCAUAUAUUCUGUCUUUGAUCGGCUUAGGCGAAGACCUUUAGAUUCCAACACUUCUCUCCAAAGGUUAAGCUUCGCAUUUACCCCUUCUUGAGUUUCAUCUAUCAACACUAUAUCGUCUGCAAAAAGCAUACACCAAGGAAUAUCAUCUUGAAUAUGUCUUGUUAACUCAUCCAUUACCAACGCAAAAAGGUAAGGACUUAAGGAUGAGCCUUGAUGUAAUCCUACAGUUAUGGGGAAGCUUUCGGUUUGUCCUUCAUGAGUUCUUACGGCAGUCUUUACUCCUUCAUACAUAUCCUUUAGAGCUUGGAUAUAUGCUACUCGUACUUCUUUCUCCUCUAAAAUCCUCCAAAGAAUGUCUCUUGGGACCCUAUCAUACGCUUUUUCCAAAUCUAUAAAAACCAUGUGUAAAUCCUUUUUUCCAUCUCUAUAUCUUUCCAUCAAUCUUCGUAAGAGAUAUAUUGCCUCCAUGGUUGAGCGCCCUGGCAUGAACCCAAAUUGGUUGUCCGAAACCCGUGUCUCUUGCCUCAAUCUAUGUUCAAUGACUCUCUCCCAGAGCUUCAUUGUAUGACUCAUUAGCUUAAUACCCCUAUAGUUCAUGCAAUUUUGUACGUCACCCUUAUUCUUGUAAAUAGGCACCAAAGUGCUCUUUCGCCACUCAUUUGGCAUCUUCUUCGUUUUCAAAAUCCUAUUAAAAAGGUCAGUGAGCCAUGUUAUACCUGUCUCUCCCAAGCCUUUCCACACUUCGAUCGGUAUAUCGUCUGGGCCCACUGCUUUUCUAUGCUUCAUCUUCUUCAAAGAAACAAUCACCUUUUCCUUCCUGAUUCGACGAUAAAAUGAGAAGUUUCUACACUCUUCUGAGUUACUCAACUCCCCUAAAGAAGUACUCUUUUCAUGUCCUUCAUUGAAAAGAUUAUGAAAAUAACCCCUCCAUCUGUCUUUGACUGCGUUCUCUGUAGCAAGAACCUUUCCAUCCUUAUCCUUGAUGCACCGCACUUGGUUUAGGUCUCUUGUCUUCUUUUCCCUUAAUCUAGCUAGUUUAUAGAUAUCCAACUCUCCUUCUUUGGUGUCUAAUCGCUUAUACAUAUCGUCAUAAGCCACUAACUUAGCUUCUCUCACAACUUUCUUCGCCUCUUGCUUUGCUUUUCUAUACCUUUCACCAUUUUCAUCGGUCCUAUCCUUGUAUAGGGCUUUACAACAUUCCGUCUUAGCCUUCACCUUUGUUUGUACCUCCUCAUUCCACCACCAAGAUUCCUUUUGGUGUGGAGCAAAGCCCUUGGACUCUCCUAAUACCUCUUUUGCUACUUUUCGGAUACAACUAGCCAUGGAAUCCUACCUCUGGCUAGCGUCCCCCUCUCUAUCCCACACACACUGGGUGAUUACUUUCUCUUUGAAAAUGGCUUGUUUUUCUCCUUUUAGAUUCCACCAUCUAGUCCUUUGGCACUUCCAAGUCUUGUUCUUUUUUCUCACUCUUUUGAUAUGUACAUCCAUCACCAACAAGCGAUGUUGAUUAGCCAAGCUCUCUCCCGGUAUAACUUUGCAAUCCUUACAAGUUUUACGAUCCCCUUUCCUCAUUAGAAGAAAAUCUAUUUGUGUUUUUGACGACCCACUCUUGUAGGUGAUCACAUGUUCUUCUCUCUUCUUAAAGAAGGUGUUGGCUAAAAAGAGAUCGUAUGCCAUUGCAAAAUCCAAGAUAGCUUCCCCAUCCUCGUUUCUCUCCCCAAAACCAUGGCCACCAUGAAAACCGCCAUAGUUGCCUGUCUCCCUGCCCACGUGUCCAUUUAAAUCUCUUCAUAUAAAUAACUUCUCCAUCUGGGCAAUUCCUUGCACCAUGUCUCCAAGGUCUUCCCAAAAUUUCUCUUUCGAACUCGUAUCCAACCCUACUUGAGGUGCGUACGCACUAAUCACAUUGAUGAGUUCUUGUCCUAUUACAAUCUUGAUUGCCAUGAUUCUAUCUCCUACCCUCUUGACAUCUACAACAUCUUGUGUCAGGGUCUUGUCCACGAUGAUGCCAACACCGUUUCUCGUUCUAUUUGUGCCCGAAUACCAAAGUUUAAACCCUGAGUUUUCUAGAUCCUUUGCCUUAAGACCAACCCACUUAGUUUCUUCUAGGCACAUAAUAUUUAUCCUUCUCCUCACCAUAACUUCCACUACUUCCAUAGAUUUUCCCGUUAAGGUUCCUAUAUUCCACGUUCCUAAACGCAUUCUACUCUCUUGAACUCUACCAUUCUGUCCUAGCUUCUUCACCCUCCCUCGUCUAAUAGGAUUAAAGUACUUCUUUUGUGUGUCCUGUGUAAAGUUGAUAGGAGCAUAUGCUCCCAAACAACUUUGAGUGGAGUCGUUCGAAAAGAAGUUUCUAUGGCCCCCUUGCUCAUUUAACACUGCAUCCGGGUGCCGAUGGAGAUACACCCUUGCUCACUUAACACUGUGCUCGGGCCACACAGCGCGCCACAUGCGGCAAGUACAUAAUCUAAAUUGCAGAGCCGUCUCAAUGCAAACUUAAUCCUAAGACGAAAAUAAAAUGAGGUUUUUCUAAUUUAGUAUGUGGUUUUUUUAUAGGCUAGUUAAAUUAUAAAACUUUUCAAUUCAAUCCACCACCAUCUCCACACCAAAGUAAAUUUAACCAUUUAAGGCACAUUAAAUAAGAUUUAGGAAAAUAGUGGAAGACUUCAGAAUCAACAACAGUCGCAGAGCCACAAAGAUGCAAAAAUUUUGUUAAUUACCUAUUUGAAUCUUAUGCACAAUAAAUAGAACCUUAAGGUUAGUUUCCCAUUUGAUUUCGUUUCCUUGUUGACUCUUAAUCUCGACAGAUUACAAUGUUGAAAGCAACUCCAUAGGAUAAAGAAGAGGGCACCAAAUUUCGCCUCUACAAUAAGAUCUCCUUAUCAUGAAACAAUUAGUAUAAUCUCACUCCAAAAAUGGAUGUUGAUUGUUGUACCAAAAGAAGGUUCAAUUUUGACAGUAAUAAAAGAACAUACACAGCUGAUGAAAACGAGAGACAGCCAACUAGCUCGUGCAUGAGAGCGUGCGAAGAGGCUAGCAAUACUGUGCUUGUAAAAAGAGAUGGAUAUCGCGGUCAUGCCAUACAUAUGAUGUCAUAAUUCACACACCGGAUGGUUUUAUUUUAUUUAUUUUAAAAGAUAAGUUCAUACUACAUUAUUUUCAGUACCAGAUGGAUAAAAUUAGACAGCAAUUGCAAAGAGAAACUUUAAUGAUUAAACCCAAAUAUCUGAAGUGCAGUCACCACCAGGAUAUCUCAUUUCAUGGGCUAGGGAAGGACCAUCCGGUUCAGCUCCAAAGUCGACGAAAAAGUUCGGGUUUAAUGCAAGACCACCCUUCUCAGUGUCAACAUCAAGCUGUAGCAUGUGAGAUCCUUUCUCCAGAAGGUCGGGGUAAAAUUGGCGAUCCCAUGUACUGAAAAGGGAGUUGGUGACAUAAAGCCGCUUCCCAUCCAAACUUAACUGGAUCAUCUGAGGUCCACCUCUCAACUUUUUCCCCUGAAUGGAAGACAUGAACUCAUCAAUCAAUGUUAAACAGUAAAACGAAAUUUCCGGCAUGAAAUAUCUUUGAGAACUACUAUCAAGCAUGGCAACUAUGAAUGUACUUAUGCCUCAUAAAAGCUAGAUGUAUCUAUCUUUUUAUACUACAAUCAUGUGGUGAAUGAGACUUGUACAUGAGAAGAAGAUAGAACAUGUGAUGCAUGGGAAAUGCUGCAAAGAGAUGAUAACAUUUCAUGUCAAGGCUAUGCACUAUAAUUCACACCCGCUAUUCACCCCUUACUCGGUUCAAAACUGAAAACCGAGAGAGUUGGUGCGGAAAGACAUUAACCUAGGAUCUUGAGUACAUCUUAUUUUCUUAGCAAUUACACUCUACAUUGGACAGGAGAGUGACUAUAUCAACAAUAUUCUGAUGCCUUUUUUUUUUUUUUGAGAAGAAUAUUCUGAUGCCUUUUAUUAGACAAUAGCAUGUAAAAUGGUGAGCAAAAUUUUGGUACAGGACUGCUAAGAUACAGCAGGCAAACCAACUCUUAAUCCACAGAAAAAAAAGACUUAAAAGUGAUAGUAAGGAAUACUAAUUGAUACCGAAAGUUAUCAGAAGAAGAUCGCACAGACCUGGAUCUCUGGGACGUCAAACUGCUUUGUUGUACCAUCUUCAGCCUCAGCAACAACUGGGCAUCCCUUUUGGAUUAGCCCCCCAACCCAUAUUUGGCCCGUCAGCUUAGGAUUUUUGGGGUCCUCAAUGUUAUACUGUCUCACAUCUCCAUGAAGCCAGUUCACAAAGUAUAGAAAACGAUCAUCAAGUGAGAUCAGAAAAUCAGUUAUAAGCCCAGGCAUCUCCGGAAGAAUCCAGUUCUGCACCUUCAAUGGUUUCACUGAUAUUGCAACCUGGAAAAAUGUAUUAGGAUUUAUUGGGUACUCCGGACCUAGUACUUUAAUUUUUUCCAAAACAUAAAAGAAAAUAAGGAUUCAAAAGACAGUAAGAAUGAAUCGAAUUACCUCAUGGCUCCACGAACCAUCAUCUGUCUUGAAGAAUCGCACCAUGUUACUUGUCAAGGCACACCCAACAAAUCCAGUGUCCUUAGAAGGAUCAUGCAGGAACCUUAUCUGCAAACAGUGAGAUUCAGUUAUAAAACAGAUCCAGAGUCGCCUGAUGUCUUUAUAUAGGAAAAUAAACUGUGAAAACGAGUACUGCUGAAUGUUGAUUAAGUUUAUACAACUCGCCUCCAAGGGUAAGAGUCCUGUAUUUCCAAGAUCCAAUGUUUGUUUCAAUUCACCUUCUGGCCAGCUGUAUACAUGAAGAUGCCUCCCAUACAGUCCAUCCGAGACAUGCUGAGGGUUGAAACCUUUAGUGAAAGCAGCAGGGGCACCCCAUGAUGUGCUUAUCAUUGUCUUGUGUCGCGGCUGGUACCAGAAAUCAUAGCCAAAAAGUGGACUGUGCCCUGGUUUCUCCCACCUGUCAGAUGUUAGGAUAUCUAUAUGUAAUCAAAACUGUGGAAGUGGCAGAUGUCUUCAACCUACCAAGGCUACCAUGCAACCAAGCCCAGAGAAGUGGGGUUCGAUCUCUUUCAAAUGUUUAAUAAGGAUGCACAUAAAUGUUAGGUAUGAUCAAUCUCAUGUUCCAUGUUUAUAUUGUCAACAUAUAAACUCAAAUUUUACGAUAUUGAUGUGUGUGGGAAUCAGUCAAUUCCACAUGGUGUUAUAUGACAGUUUCUUCAAAAUCUACAAUAAAUGAAUUGAGGUUUCCAGCGGAAGGUCAUACCUGCCCUUCACAUUAAACUCAGAGUCAAGGAGAAGAAAUCCAUUUCCUACAGCAUUGCCAUCUUUAUCUCCUAGGCAAGAAACCAGUAGAUCGCCCGAAGCAAGGCAAUGGGAUGUGUGUGGAUAUGCCAAUCCAGUCUUCUGAACAAUAUCUGCAGGGUCAACAACUUUAUGCAAAGAGGGAGCCUUCGGGUUUGUUUUUGUGUCUAUCACAUAUAUACGACCAGAUCUGAAAGAUAAAAUAGGAUUAAUAAGAAGUGCAAUACUUUGGCCUACACAUAUAUACAAGCUUGAAAGACCUCACUCAGAAUCUUACAGAAAAGAGCCGGUAAUGCUUAAGUGAUAUUUAAAGCAUGCAGAACUUGUCAAAUAAUAGGGAGUAGCAAGUAUAUAUAAACAUUAAUUGAUGUCACUUAUAUUACUAUAUGUUCCAUCAAUUCACAACAUUGGUCUCUGUGUAAGAAGAUGCUGAUUUUUUAAACUUUCGGAUAGUUGAUUUUGACACUCCGGUCAGGCCAAACAUGAUGAUCGAAAUGCUUAUGUUUGUUUCGAGGGAAAUUUCAAAACUUCAACCAAGGAUGUCAUUCCUAGACAAACAAUCUUAAAAAUGCUCCAAAUACUUAAUCAGCUAAUGAAAUUCGUAUCUCCUGUACUAUGAGAAAUGGUAAAGAAAUCACAGGUAGCAGAAGACAAAAUGUUCAGUAGAACAGCUUCAACUGCUCGAUUACAUGUAAAGCCUCAGUUUUAGAUGAAAUUAAGCAUAGUGAAUCGCAACAUCAUGAAAAAUAAGUGAUACUCCAAACUAUUUGCGAUCUUUCCUUUCACCAAGGUUGCACCACAUCAACAUACAUCAAUUGUGCUUUUAAUAAACAUUUUCAGAUCGAGGAGGUUCCAGCUUGAAAAUUUUGAUCUGUGCGGAUUCUUCUCAAAUUUCUUUUCGUUUAUCCUUAACCAUUUCAGACUGGCUGCCUAACAAGAAAUUUCACUUGCUUAACUUCAUAAGAACUACUUUUUCAAUUAAGACCAAACAGUAUAACAGUCCAUGCAACAUGAAAUUUAGUAUCUUACAUUAAUGCAGGUAGUACAAGGAAACGCCGUUCUGCAGAUGGAUCUCCAUGGCAAGAGCUGCACGAGUUCCAGCCAGUGUGAUGCAGUUCAUCACCUAAAUGCGGCACGGGCAGCCUGUGGAUUACUUUGGAAUAAGUAGGCGAACUUGGAUCGACAUCAACCGUGGCAAGGUAAUCCGGCUUCUCUAUUCCCGUUCCUAAUUUGCAAUAGCAUUUCGAAGAAUUAACAUCAAUUUUACAUCUUCAUUGCCAAAUGCAAGCAGAAAAACAGUCCAUGUAUAUAAUUCUUUAUAAGCAAUAAUUUAAAGAAACAAUAAAAUUUGUAGAAUUAUCAGAGAAACGGGCCAAAAACCCACUUCCAACAAACACCGAUACUAUCCCAACUUAAUAAUUACCACUUGCCCAAUCCAUUAGGGGUAAGAUUUUAUCAUAAAAGCCACAGUGUUAAUUAGAGUGAAGUUAGAAUAUUUAAACUAUUAAAUUUGCUUUUACUAUAAUCAAACACGCCCUCUCCCAUGAAAUCCAAUUAAUGAGUUCCAUACAUUGACAAUCACGUGGAACAAGGCACGCCGAGCCAAGGGACCAAAGGACCCACCAUCAUCGCCACGUGGAGCCAAGGCAUGUGGGGCCAAGGGAUCCAAGGACCCACAAUCAUUGCCUUUAUAGAAUUAUUAAAGAGACGGAUCAAAGACUCACCUCUAACAACAUCGAUAUUAUCGUCAACUUGAUAAUUACCAUUUGUCUAAUUCAUUAGGUGAAAGGUUUUAUCACAAAAAACAUCAAUAUUAGUUAAAAUGAAAUUAGAAUAUUUAAACUUAUUACUUUUCUUUUACUAUGUCGAUGUGGGAUUCAACAAAAUUAAGGAGAUAAAGUUCAUAAAUCCCUUCAAAGUUCAAAUCUUUUACUUGUAACCUAACCAAUUUAAGAUUUUACUAUAAAUUCAGAAAAAAAAAAAACAGAGAACAAAUUAAAAAUUAAAAACCCAAAUCACAGAAGAUAAUUUGUUUGUUAAUUUUAUUUUAUGCAAGAUGUAUGUACAACGAGGGUGGGGGAGUAAGUUUCUACCCAUGAUUCAACGGAGAAGAAAUGAAGGCUUGAAUAUUUGUGAUGAGGGAAAAAGUGCAAUCGGGUACCUGAGUAAACGGCAGUUACAUAGAUGAGAGCCUCUCUCGGACCAGCCAUGGCGUCGAGCGGGGUGGCGUACCCGGGCCCACUUUUGCAGCACGCUCCUCCAUUGCCCAGGCUCUUCCCUACCGUUCCGUGUUGCAGCACCGCCACGUCCGUUGCCAUCUCUCUCUCUCUCUCUCUAAAACGCGCGCUUUCUCUGUCUCUCUCUCUGGCUCUGAUCAGAUGAAGAAGAUGAACAGAAUAAUCACGGAGUGAACAAAGCCAUUGGGAUGGGCAAAAUACAUAUACAACUCUUCUGAUGACGUGGCAGAGUUCAAUAAGCCGGUUUUAUCUGUAUGUGGUCUACAUUUUUGUCUUGAUGCGCAUGGUAUACAUCUCUUUGAUGACGUGGCAGAGUUCUAUAAACCGGUUUUAUCUGUAUGUGGUCCACAUUUUUGUCUUGAUGCGCAUGGUAUUUCACGGAAAUGGAUUUUCUUCUAAUUCAUUCAUUCUAAUUUACUAAAUUAGAGGAUUCGUAUAGUUGAAAAUUAAUCUAACGAUUUAAGUUAUUAUAACUUUUAAAAUAAGUUUUUAUUUGUAGCUGUUUGAUCAAAUUUCAAUGAUACGAAUCCUUUAAUUUGGUGAAUUAGGAGAAAGAGAUCCGACGAGGAUCCCUUUUCCGUAUUUCACUGCCCAGUUUCGAUUAGUACGGUAACAACCACACCACGUGUCAUAAGAGAAUUGGAUAGAGAAUAAUAACCACAUGAGUAUUCUACUACUCUGUACCAUGGAUUUAAAUAUCGAUAUUAUCGGCGAAAUAUCGCCGAUAAUAUCGAUUUUUCGGGUAAUGGAUAUUUAAACUGGUUUCCGUGUAGUUUUCGUCCAAAUAUCGUGAUAUUAUCGAUAUUAUCGAUAAUAUCGCGAUAUUUUGGAAAUAUCGAGAAAUUUCGUUGAAUGGUGCAAUCGGAUUCCGAUAUCGGACGCCGGAGAAGAACGCCGGAGAUGGUGUGCCUGUUCCCGAGCCCAUUUCGUCCCAAAAACCUUGCAAAAACACGAAUUUUAACUUAAAUUUCACAUAUAUACUCCAAAUUUCACGCAUGCAUCAACGAUUCAACAUAUGUGAUAUCGGUUUAGGGCUUAGGGUUUCAAUGGAAUCUCACCUGAAAUAUCGAUGACUGGGCCAACUCCUUGCUCAGCGGCGCACCACCAGAGACGACUGAGGGAGAAGAAGAAGGAUGGAGAGACUGAGGGAGAAGGAUGGACGGAGAGACUGAGGGAGAAGGAUCGAGAUCGAGGCUGAAGGAGAAGGAUAGACGGACGGAGAGACUGAGGGAGAGAAGGAUCGAGAUCGAGGCUGAGGGAGAAGGAUGGACGGACGACGGAGAGACUGAGGGAGAGAAGGAGAGACUGCGUGUGUGGUGUGUGCGUGUGUGGUCUGUGCGUGUUUUGCAGAGAAUAAGAGACUGAGGGAGAGAAGCAGAGAAAGGGAGAGCCUGGGAAAGUGGAGAGAAAGAGAGGACUGAGAGAGAAGAUAGAUGUGAAGGAUGGGGAAUCGGGAUGGAGGGGAGGUCACACCACACACGUGGUGCUGAAAUGGGGAAGCAUGCUGCACCUUCAAAGUUUCAAUUUCAACCACCCACCCAACCAUGAUUUUUACUUUUAAUUUUAAAAAGUUAAAUAUAACCAUUCAAAAUAUCUUAAGUUAUAUGACUUAAUGUAUUUUUAAAUUAUAGAUUUGUUGGAUAUUCUUUUUACAUUUUAUCAUUCGAUUUAUUUGUGGGCUAACGAGGGAAACCAAACUAGCACAUAUGAACAAUAAUUAGUAAUUUAUUUAGAGUUUUAAUACUCACAUCCUUAUUAAACUCCUAAUUAAUUUUCAAUUCAAACAUUUCAAAUAUAUAAAAAAUAAGAAUAAGAAUAAGUUUGUACCCAUUAAUUUUUAUAAAAAAAAAUUGAUAUGUACCCGUUAUAAGAAUAAGUCACUCAUGUAUCUUACCAUGCAAUAUAUAAAGUGUAAAAUAUUGUACUAAUUCAUUAUAUAUAAAUGAUUAUGGUGUGUUUAAACUUCUUUCAUUAAUUACUACAUAUAUAAAUGAUUAAUUACUACAUAUUUUCUACACUCACAAUGUUUGUCAGCUCGCUAUAUAAUCAACUUGAUAAUGUUAAAUCCAUCAUGCAAUGCAUUUCCUUCCAAUUUUUGUGAUAAACUAAUAGAUAAUUGACUAAAUAAACAUCCUGCAAAGUUUCAAUAAAAAUUUCCAAGUUUUUCUUACAAUUUCCGUGGUUUCCAUGUAAUUUUUAUCGAUAUCGAUAUUUUAUCGAUAUUUCCGUCGAUAUUUCCGUGUUUUCGGACUACCGAUAUUUCCGAUAUUACCUGUUUGUACCAUACUUGACCAAUCCCGAAACUACCGAGCACCGGCCAACGCUAUACUGUCAAGGACCCAGAAGAGUUCCCCUCCGACCAGGAGGCCAAUCACUACUCGACACGUGUCAAGAUUAGAAGCCAAUCAGAGCGCAGCACGUGUCGACAUCAAGAACCAAUCAUAACAUGACACAUGUCAAUGUGACAAAGCUACAAGUUUUUCUAUAAAUAGGGGUCAUUCCCCCACAAUAUUGCCUAAUGCCAUUUGUGUUAAAUCAUUCAUAAGAACUCACUAAAUUGAGAGCUUGAUCCUUUGUACUUGUGUAAGCCCUUCACUACUAAUAAGAACUCCUCUACUCCGUGGACGUAGCCAAUCUGGGUGAACCACGUACAUCCUGUGUUUGCUUCUCUGUCUCUAUUCAUUUACGUACUUAUCCUCACUAGUGACCGAAGCAACCAAGCGAAGGUCAUAAAACUUGACACUUUCUGUUGUACCAAAGUCUUCGCUGAUUUUGUGCAUCAACAUUUGGCGCCGUCUGUGGGAAACGACACUUAUUCCUACUCUCUUCAGCUGUGUCAAGCUGGUUUCUAUCAUUCGUACACUUUCUUUUGAUCAGGCAUCCCUCUCCAGCAUGGGAAGCGAAGGAAGCCACAGCACACAGAAUGACACCCCCCCCUUGCACAUAGUGCGAAACAACGAAAGAAGGAAGGAAAACGAGUUCUUCUUCAAGCUAAAGUCAAUGAGUUGGAAGCUCAGAACAACAAGAUAGCAAUGAGGAAUGAGGUCCUCCAGGAGCAAUAUGAGAAGCUCUUCGAGACACUUCACGAAGCUAGGCAAGCUCAGACACGCGAGCUUGUUGCCCCCGUGGAAGUCAACCAUCAACUGGGUGCCCUCCAACAUGGAGGGUCACAUGCAUUCGACAUAGAUAUCCCUGAUAGGGAACAAAUUACCCCUCGAUUUGAUAAUCAACAUGAGGCUUCUCUUAACCCAGUUGCUUCGACCCGAACCAUGAGAAGCGGAGGGAGACACCUCUUUGCUGAAGGGGCAGAAGGAUCGAAAGCCGUCUUUCGCGAUUGUCGGGAUUUCCUGAAGCAACGUCGAGAGAAUUCCAUCCAUAUAAGCUCAAAGAUCAAUGACCCAAGGAUUUCUGAGAGACUCGGUCCCCUGCCACGGCCCGAGCCGGCCACCAACUUGGGGAAGGUGCAACAAGUCCUAGAGAGACAUGAGGGUACAGGGGACUCAGAGGUGUUCCGACAGACAUACCCUGGAAGCCAGUACAGCGAGUCCAGGGAAAAAUCACAUGCCCUUGAUCAAACCUUCCUAAUUCCAAGAGGAGAUGGAGAUUUACGAAAGAAAGCUCCAGUGGCACAUAACUCCGUUCAGGACCCUCUUGUCCUACAACUUCUUGAGGAAGUAAACAAGUUGAAGGCUGAACGUCAGGCUGAAAUACCUGACUGGAACCAACCCAGGCCUGGCCCUCUUACAAGGAGGAUCCUCAACACCCCCCUUCAAGCAAAGACAAAGCAGAAGCUUGGCUUGCAACUUUAUACUGGAAAAGAGGACCCGAUUGAGCACCUUAACCUCUUUGAGUCCACCAUGGCAUACCGGAUGCACACCGACGAAGAACGAUGUCUUCUCUUCCCCUCCACCCUCUCUGGCGGAGCUCUAAAUUGGUAUUGUCGUCUUACACCUGAGACGGUAGACUCAUUUGAGGAAUUGAGGAAACUAUUUGUUUCCCAACACAUUUUCCAAACCGAUCGCUUGCACUCUGCAGAUGACCUGUACACUAUCCGCCAGAGGCCAGACGAGUCAUUACGUAUGUAUGCUGGCCGCUUCAGCCAUGAAUACUCCCGGUGUGCCGAGGCAGACGACAAGACUGCCCUCAAAGCCUUCACGGCAGGCCUACGUGAUUGUUUCUUUUAAAUACAUGAUCAAUGCCAAUACUUGGAAGACUUACUCUGAGGUGAUGGCGCAGGCUUAUAACCAUGCCUCCGCCGAGGCAAAGACAUAUCAGGAGAAACCCCCUCACCCAACGCCAUGGAGGAAGAACUAGCAAUAGCUAAAGUUUGACGGUUGGGAAGAUCAUCCAAUGUUUCUCUAGUACAGGACUCUAACAAAGACCCCGAAGACUCCGACAUUGCAGACUCAGACUUAGAGCUAAAGCUAGAAGAGCCCUCAUCACUAGAACUUCCAGGCUCUGACAUCUACAAUAAGAAGAAACAAAUUCUAUCACUACAUGCAUGAUCAAAACCGUGUCAAGCGCCAAAAAAAAAAAAAAAAAAAAAACAGCUUCACCCGAAAAGCUUCACCUCCAAAACUUCACCCAAAAAGCUUCAUCCAAAAAGUUUCACCCAAAAAGCUUCACCUAAAAAAGCUUCACCCAAAAAAAAAAAAAAAACUUCACCUCCAAAAAGCUUCACCCAAACAGCUUCACCUAAAAAAGCUUCACCCACAAAGCUUCACCUAAACAGCUUUCCCCACAAAGCUUCACCCAAAAAGCUUCACCCACAAAACUUCACCCAAAAAGCUUCAUCCAAAAAGUUUCACCCAAAAAGCUUCACCUAAAAAAGCUUCACCCAAAAAAAAAAAAAAAAAAAAAAACUUCAAACUUCAAAAAAGCUUCACAAAAAAAGCUUCACCCAAACAGUUUCACCUAAAAAAGCUUCACCCACAAAGCUUCACCUAAAAAGCUUCACCCAAACAGCUUCACCUAAAAAAGCUUCACCCACAAAAGCUUCACCUAAAAAAGCUUCACCCACAAAGCUUCACCCAAAAAACUUCACCCGAAAAGCUUCACUUAAAAAAGCUUCACCUACACAGCUUCACCUAAAAAAGCUUCACCUAGAAAGCUCCCUCUACAUACUUUCACCUACAAAGCUUCACCAUCAAAGCUUCACCUCGAAAGCUUCAUCUACAAAGCUUCAACACAAAACCUUGCUCCAAAUAAACAAAUUUUGUUCACAAAACCCAAGAUGCCCUUGAACUUGUACAAAAACACUUGGGUAAACAUAAACAUUUUUUGUUUUACACCCACAAGGGCCCAAAAUUUUCCUUCUUAUUUAUUCACUUAUAUAUGUUCCCAAACAUAUUAUAAUAGAUCCAACAACAAGCCAAAGUCCCAAGUUUCAUAAUGGACAAAAGUACAAGCAAUUCAUCAAUAAUGAAGGUGCUACAAAACUUGGAAUCUGCCCCAAAAUAGAAAUCCAACCAAAGAGACUUUUUCUCUCUCUCCCUCUUUCGCCUCCUUUCAUCUAUCAAAUUUCUGCAACUUCUGCUCUUCUCCAAUGGAGCUGAAUUUUGAACACCCUAUAGUUUUUGAGCAUAUGAACAACUUUCAAGAAGGAACCAUUUCUGUUUGAGCGACGGAAAUUAAAGUGUUGAAGCUCCAAACAUGACAGUCGGAUUCUUGCAAAUUUCGAAGCUGCUAUGAUGUUUCGAAGAUCUGGAAAUAUUUAACCAUUAGUUCAUUCUGAAUUUUUGAUAUGUUAUGAAAGAGACGAUGAGGCACAACUUCAAUGAAGAAAGCAUGCUGAUCUGAACAAUAGAAAAUGGAGUUUCGAAGCUCACAACAAAUCUGACGGGUUGACAGAAAAAUAAUAACCAGUCAUUCAUCAUACCUAAAUUUCUUGAGUUAUACAGCUCCGAGGGAUCUCAAAUUUGGAUAUGUUGUAGUUCAUAAGCUGAGGAACAACUUCAAUGAAGAAAGCAUGCUGAUCUGAGCAAGAGAAAAUAGAGUUUCAAAGCUCACAACAAAUCUGACGGGUUGACAGAUAAAUGAUAAACAGUCACUCAUCAUACCUGGAUUUCUGGAGUUAUACUGCUCCGAGGGACCUCAAAUUUGGAUAUGUUGUAGUUCACAAGUUAAGGAACAACUUCGAUGAAGAAAGUAUGUUGAGAUGAACAAGAAAAAAUGGAGUUUAGAAGCUCACAACAAGUCUGACGGGUUAACAGAAAAUUGAUGAACAGUUACUCAUCAUACCUGAAUUUCUGGAGUUGUACUACUCCGAUGGAUCUCAAAUUUGGAGAUGUUGUAUAGUUCACAAGAUAAGGAACAACUUUCAUGAAGACGACUUUGCGAUCUGAGCUAUAGAGAAUGGUGUUAUCUUGCAUCCACUCAGGCUGAUUAGUGGAAACGAAAAGCAAUUCCACCA
rnacentral:lncRNA from 1 species